UAACUGCUUUCAGAAUCAACUCACAGAGGUCAAGCCAGUAAAUAAUAGGAUAAGAACCACAAAACCAAUCACGAUCCGAUUGUUUCAUAACAGUGAGUGAGUUCUACAAGUG